rnacentral:rRNA from 1 species
CAGGCCUAACACAUGCAAGUCGAACGGUAACAGGAAGCAGCUUGCUGCUUUGCUGACGAGUGGCGGACGGGUGAAUAAUGUCUGGGAAACUGCCUGAUGGAGGGGGAUAACUACUGGAAACGGUAGCUAAUACCGCAUAACGUCGCAAGACCAAAGAGGGGGACCUUCGGGCCUCUUGCCAUCAGAUGUGCCCAGAUGGGAUUAGCUAGUAGGUGGGGUAACGGCUCACCUAGGCGACGAUCCUUAGCUGGUCUGAGAGGAUGAUCAGCCACACUGGGACUGAGACACGGCCCAGACUCCUACGGGAGGCAGCAGUGGGGAAUAUUGGACAAUGGGCGCAAGCCUGAUCCAGCAAUGCCGCGUGAGUGAUGAAGGCCUUAGGGUUGUAAAGCUCUUUUACCCGGGAUGAUAAUGACAGUACCGGGAGAAUAAGCUCCGGCUAACUCCGUGCCAGCAGCCGCGGUAAU